ACCCAAACACCUAUAAUUAUUUAAGAAUUUUCAUAUUUCAUAUCAAAAAAAUGGUUGGGCAUAGUAAAAAGUUGUUCCACACCUCUACAUUGAUAAGGGAAGAAGCAUCCUUUGCUUCUUCUUCCGGGCUGCUGUAACUUGCUUUGCAAUUGUCACGCAUAAAAGCAAUAGCAAGCUAACACAUACUAAGAUAAAUGCAAGCUUUAGAUGCUUGAAAUACAGUGAAACCGCAGAGAAAACCAGGAGUGCCAAAAUAACCAGUUCAAAUAUUACAAAGAUGACGACAUCUGCCCUGCAUCAAAGCAAAAAAAAAGGAAAUAAGAAAAAGAAGGCUCAGAACAGAACAAAUAGUACAUAGAUAAUAGAUAAUAGAAACCACUGACAAAAUAUUUGAGUUGCUAUAAAUUUAAGCAGUAAACUAUUGAGAAAAGGGCAAAAUCAAGUACCAUGCUACCAGUUAUUUCACAAAAGUAAGUUGCAAAAGAAAUUGCCCAAAAAGAUUUAAACAGCUCUCAAGCCCAAAGAUGCAGUUCAUUCAUUCUUCAUCAAUGUCCACCCUCAAUGAGGUUUAGGAUGAUCAUUUAUCCAUUCUACCAUUUGCAACCUCCCCAUGGGUUGAUGGUUGUGAUUCUUUCAAGAAAAUUAUGAUAGGAAUAACAAAUAGGAUGAUUUAGGUGACUAGAGGUAAGAGAAUCAAGAAAAUGAUAGAUUCGGUUUUCAGAUCCCCCUACUACUUAAAAUGCAAGAACAAGAGCUUUUGCAGAUAAGACUAUCAGCUCUAGAGCCCCAAGAGAGUGAACGGAAUUGCAUUGUUACAACUGGGAACACUAAACAAUGACAAAUAUUCAUCAAGCGAGUGCACCAUGAGUAAGGAAUCAGGGAAAACAUUAAUUAUGGCUGCAGAAUAAGGUACUCAAUUAGCUUUGAGAACUUCUCAUUAGCCUUCCUAGUCUGGUUACUUCAUGUGCCUUGGUUUUAAUUAUUUAGCUUGCUUGCAUAUAACAAGUUCGAACUUGAAAGAUUCAACAUUGGAACUCUAUGGGUUCGGAUGUAGCUGAUGCGGAGGGUUCAUAACAAAAGCUUUGGACAAAAUGGACACUGAAGAAGGGAAGAUACAUCGCACAUAUAUAUAUUCUCUAUAUUCUUGAAGCAAAAAUCGCACCUGGUACCUACUUGCAAAGAUGAAAGGACAACCUUUACCCUGAGAGAUAUAAAGAUUCAGCUGUAAGAGGUCGUCCGGUUUGAAGACAAGUUAUGUUCGGAUUAGUUAUGCUAGGAUUAAUAUUAUUUUUUAUUGGAUGUUUGGUAUGUUGUAUUACUCCUGGGAUUGUCAAUUCUAUUUAUUUAUCAUGGGAUAACUUAUUAUGAGAUUACAUUUCCAUCCUCUGACAGGUAUAAGUUAUCAGGGUACUAUUUUUUAUUCUUGGAUUAAUAACCAAACAAAGGAUAAGAUGGUACUAAAUUUUUAUCCCAGGAUUAUUUUUGCUUAUCCAUCAUACCAAUCGACCCUAAGUGUCUUGCAGUUCGGGAUUUCACCUUCCCCGUUGUACUGACCACGCAAUAAUUAACCCGGUCUAAACCUCUACUAGGUUCAGAGAAGUGAGGGGAAAAGGCAGAGUAAGAAUUAAUGAUUCCAACGUCUCAUUUCGAGCUAACAUAUAAAGUCUACAUAUAAUAAUCAAUCGAUUCAUCUGUUAGCAAGAAUUACGAAUUCCUACGUCUCAUUUCAAGCUAACCUAUAAAGUCUGCAUGUAAAAUUCAAUCACACAAUCUAUUCACAACAAAUGUCAAAAAAAAUGACUAACUAAGCUGAAACUUGUCAACAUAAGCAUUUCUAAAUCAAUAUAUAGCUAGAUGAAACUUUUCCCACCAAAAAGUUCUUUCCACUAUAUUUAACAAAAAAAAACACAUUAUGCCUCUCAUCCAAAGUUUUCAACUUUAAUCAUACAGCCAUGCAAUGCAAAGAAAUACUUCAAUAAAUCAACCAAAACUUUGACAAACAUAAAAAUUUCUAAUUAAACCAAAAACUCAAAUUUUCGGAAACUACUGUUGGUCUAAUAACAGGAACAACCCCAAAAUCAUAAACUUUCCCAAACCAAAUCCUAAUUUAGCAAAAUGUGUAUACACAUACACGUAAAUUAGAUUGUGCGCCACUGAUAUCCAAAAAUAUUACUCAAUUUCGAUGAUAGCGGGAAAUGAAUUGAAAAAGAAAAGCUGUAAUCGGAAAUGAAGAGAAGAAGAUAGAAAUACUAAUCGAAUACCUGGUAGAUGUGAUGUUAGAGGUGGA
rnacentral:lncRNA from 1 species